CCCGUUGUCAAAAUGGUCACAGUUAGAAACAUCCUUGCUCUUGCCUCUCAUCAUGCUUGGCCUAUUUUCCAGAUGGAUGUAUUCAAUGCUUUCCUCCAAGGUGAUUUGCAUGAGGAGGUUUAUAUGACAUUACCUGAAGGGUUUUGCAGUCGGGGGGAGAAAAUGGUAUGUAGACAGCAAAAGUAUUUGUAUGGCCUGAAGCAAGCUUCAAGACAAUGAAAUGUGAAGCUAUCAGAGGCCAUGUUAGCUGCUGGUUAUGUUCAAAGCAAGCUAGAUUACUCAUUAUUCACAAGAAAGGAAGGAAGCAGUAUUGUGAUCCUGUUGGUAUAUGUAGAUGACUCGUUGAUAACAGGAAAUGACCUCGGAGGAAAUUAUUUACCAUGAAAAAUUUUGUGCGAGGGCCAAAGGAACUGAAGACGAUGACCGUGAGGAACAAUUUUCGCGGCGGCAAGAUUUAUCUUGCAAGUCUGACGUAGUACGAGACAAAAUUAUUGAUGUCGCGUGGCCAGCUGUCCAUUGCACCUCACGUGAGCCUCUGCCCCUUCCAGCUGCCAUAUUAUUCACGAAAUUGGCAUGAAUUGAAGGGUAGUUGGGUAAAUUUCAAGAUCACUAAACCCUAGAAAUUCCUCACUAUAAAUAGCAUAUUAUUCCCACCAUUAUAGAGAUCCCCACUCUCAUAUACCCUAAAAGCUUUGGAAGAGGCAACUGCAACAACUUCUCCACUGUUCCCCUCUCGUCCUUCCUUGUUGUCCUCCAUAGUCAGGCUUCAUCAGAGUAGCGGCUAGGUCCUUGAGAGAGGCUAGCCCACUGGAGCGGUCCAUGGUGGUGGUACGAUGUCACGACAAAACUCUGUUUUUGUGAUAGAAAAUGACCGAGGAAGAUAUUAUUUACUAUGACAAAUUUUGUGUGAGGGCCAAAGGAACUGAAGACGAUGACCGUGAGGAACAAUUUUUUCCGUGGCAAGUUUUAUCUUGCAAGUCUAACGCAGUACGAGACAAAAUUACUGAUGUCGCAUGGCCAACUGUCUGUUGCACCUCACAUGAACCUCUGCCCCUACCAAGGAUUUGGGACCACUUCCAACUGCCAUAUUAUUCACGAAAUUGGCAUGAAUUCGAGGGUAGUUGGGUAAAUUUCAAGGUCACUAAACCCUAUAAAUUCGUCACUAUAAAUAGCAUAUUAUGCCCACGAUUUUAGAGAUCCCCACUCUCACUUACCCUAAAAGCUUUGAAAAAGGCAGCUGUAACAACUUCUCCACCGUUCCUCUCUCGUCCUUUCUUGUUGUCCUCCAUAGUCGGGCUUCGUCGAAGUAGCGGCUAAGCCCUCAAGAGAGGCUAGCCCACUAGAGUGAUCCAUGGUGGUGAUCUAAUGUCACGACAAAGCUCUGUUUUUGGGAGUUUUCUGCUUGUUCUUCAUUUCUUAUCUUUUAAGGGCUUGUACUUAAUGAAUA